GAUUUCAACUGAAAAAGUCAUUAAUAACAAAGUUGUAUAACUCAUCAAUAUAUAUAACUUCUAUUUUGGUCAUUUCUUCAUCCCACAAAGUGAUUUGUAAAAUUGUUCACAAAAUGUACAUAUCUCUAAUAUAGUUUUAUAAACUGUAAAUUUUGUGAAAAUGUUACUAUCACUUUGUUGGAUGAAGAAAUGACCAAAAUAGAAGUUAUAAAUCUUGAUGGGUUAUACAACUUUGUUGCUGAUGACUUUUUCAGCUGAAAUC
rnacentral:pre_miRNA from 1 species